CAUCCUACGGGGGGCAGCAGUGAGGAAUAUUGGUCAAUGGCCGGAAGGCUGAACCAGCCAAGCCGCGUGAAGGACGAAGGUGCCAAGCAUUGUAAACUUCUUUUGUCAAGGGACAAAAUCAGGCUCGAGAGCCUGACCGAGGGUACUUGAAGAAAAAGCAUCGGCUAACUCCGUGCCAGCAGCCGCGGUAAUACGGAGGAUGCGAGUGUUAUCCGGAUUUAUUGGGUUUAAAGGGUGCGUAGGCGGUCCGGAAAGUCAGCAGUAAAAGCCCGGGGCUCAACCCCGGCGAGCCGUUGAAACUGUCG
rnacentral:rRNA from 1 species